AUGACUAAGUAAACUAUAGCUCAAAAAAAAUAGUCUAAUGUCAAGUAUGAAAAUGUGUAAUGAAAAAGAAAUGGUAAAAUACAAUAAUACUAUUACAAACUUAUUACGAAUCUACUAAAUAUGAAUUGUUAUUAAGUGCCAAUGUUUUUCACGUAUUAAGGCUUUUAAUGAACAGGCUAAAUUAUUUUAAGUUAAGUUGAGCUCAGUACAACCCCAUCCCAAGACAUGUAUCACUAUAAACUGGUAUGUGCAGUGGAAAUGAAGCUAGCGUGUUUGUUGACGAUUUUAUGUUUAUUAAAACAUGGAAGCACUAUUAUGAUUAAGCAGGAGUGUCCGCACAAUGAGUUGUAUCGAUCCUGUUCCUUCACAAACGAGUACACCUGUUGGGAGUCCCAGCUACAGGACACGAGAGUGAUGACGAUCCCGGAACGACUGACACACUGUCGCUCGGGAUGCUAUUGCAA